rnacentral:lncRNA from 1 species
GUCAGGGUCAACCGCAACAAGCUGCUGCGGGUCGCCGGCGGCAGGAACGGCGACGGCGCGGCGUUGGAGCUCGUCGCCGGCGCGGCGUACGCGAGGGCGCCGACGAAGCCGACCAACGCGUCGAGGGACACGGGGGGCAGGUGCCGCCGGCCGCGGUGCGCGGGGUGCCACCAGCACCCGCCCGCCGCCGCCGCCGCAUCCACCACCAAGGCGCGGGACAAGGCCAAGGGCGCGCGCAAGCUGCGCGCCGCCGACGUCGCGCUCAACCACCGCCUCGUCUCCUGGCGCGUCGUCGGCGGCGCCGGGGACGGCCCGGCCGCCACGGGCGGGUACAACUACAGGGGCGCC